GCCAGCACACUGUUCCCACAGAAAGACUUCAAACCACUAAGCAGGACCCCUUCUUCCAUGGGAAGUAAUGAAGGGGCAACCAAGGUCUGCCCUGUGUCUCAGGAAUACCCCAACGUGAAAGCAAGCAAGCUGGCAGGAGGGAGUCUGGAGGAGAAUAUUCCCAGGGGCUCACAGCACCCCAGAGAGCCAACAGAAGACUAAGUUGAACCUCAUGACACUCCCAUUUUUUUUUGUGGCUGAAAACCUGUUAUCAAUUUCACAUGAUUCAAUCUAACAAGAAAUAAAACAGGAUAUCCUGAAAGGGCAGAGAAACAUCAGUGAACACUGAAAAUAUGGCAGGAAAAGUAAAAUGUUCGAUACAAAGGUGGAAAAUACAGUCAAGAAUCUCCUUGAGAAAGUGUAAGAAAGAACAGGGAGACGGGCAGGAAGGGAAAGAAAGGAAAGUUGAAGGAUUAAUCCAGAAAAGCCUACAUCUGACUAAUAUGUUUUCCAGAACGAAAAAACAACUCAGAAAAUGGUAGAAAACUUAUCAAAUGAAUAGGGGCCCAAUUCCCCUAAAAGUGAAGGGCAGGUGUUUUCAGACUGAAGGGGCCACCAGGUGCCCAGGACGGUGGAUGAAGAAAAGCUCCAGGCGUAAGGAAGGGAACCUGGAGAUUUCUAAGAGAAAAAAGAAGGUCAGAAAGCAAGGGCUGGGGUCAGCAUGUCUGGUGAACCUGUCAGUGACGGCAAUGGGGGCUGGAAGACGGGGGGUUCUGAAGAGAAGGUGUUUCCACGUCCGCAUUGCCUCAGGCGGGAGCAGAAUCCAGACACCACUUUGCACUUGUAAGCUUGCAGCACGCACCUCCCCUAACUCAGGAAGCUACUAGGAGACAGAUUCCACCACAGGAGUGGUAAACAGGGGUCUAGACUGCUAGGGCUGUGUUGAGGGCAAGAGAGGCGGGGGACUCCCAGCACCGUGGUGACAGGUGCUCUGGGGCAAAGCUGCGCAGUGGGCAGAGUGAGGCUGAUGGUGUGAAGAAAGGGGUGGGGUGGGGCAGGGUGCCGACCACAGUGCAGGGAAGGAAGAACUUGGUCGGAAAUGUAAAGAGGAAGAGAUGAGAUGUGUUUACUCACCCGGGAAAAAACAAGAUGUUUCUACUGAGGGUGCAUAAUUAAAGUUUCUUUCUUGGCUGGAAAGUGAAGGGCAGGAGUGUGGCCAGUAUAACUGAGGGGCAGGAGGGUGGGCAAUGGUGGGGUGGGAGGGAGCCAGGUCCCCUCUUCCAUAAGAGGAGUACAGCUGAUGAUGUUAAGAUGAUGAACCAAGAAACAUGAACAUACACAGAGGUGUCCAGGACAGGACCCCUCCCCUGCCCCCUUGGAGUGAAAAGGCGCCUGAGUCAUGAGGAUGGCACCCAAGAGCCUUUUGUUGUGCUGAGCGACUCUAGAAACCAGCAGAUAGAAGAGAGUUCAGACCCCAGUCAGUGUGCGGAACUUAAUGUGUUCUAGCGGCGGAUACUCACCCACAUUCGUGAUGUACAGGGGCAGCCAGAAGAGGAAAGUAUAGCUGACCAGCUUGGCGAACAGCAGACACAGCGAGAACUCUAUCACGCCCUGAAAGAGAGAGUGGUUGGGCGUCUUCUCCAAAUGUGGAGUCAGCAGAAGCGGAUGGCACUUGUGAGAUAAAAAUUCCAGAGGCCAUCUGAAAAUUCAGAGUGAGAAAUCCAGUAACACUGUGGUGCUGAAUCCCCUGGCUGUCUGUGCACUGAAAAUCAACCAAAACGGGGGGCGGGGGAACCCAGCGUUCCACUUCGCCAAGUCAUUCUAAAAUGAAAUGAGUUGAUGUCUUCACAACUGAUGAGGAUGUGUGCGUGUAAUUUACUGUAUGCCUUUCACGGGCCUGGCAUUGUGCUUAGCAGUCAUUAAAUGACCUCACCUCAUCCUCAGAACAACGUACGGUAUUACCCCAGGGAUGGAGCCCAUGUGACAGACGAGGACAUGGAGGCUCGGAGUGUGCCACACUUGCCCGGAACACUCAGCUUGGUGGUGGCAGGGGGAGGCUUGAGCCAGGCCUCUGAAGCCCAUACUGUCUAUAACUCCACUAUAUAAAAACCUGUAUUUUUAUAACUAGUGUGCACCCUACUUUAGUACAAGUAUUUGGGGGUAGCUACAGAGGAAGGUAUAGCAGAAAAGGUCACUAGUUGUUACUAAGGACACAAUUAAAAACAAAUCUUUGGACUUAAACCUAGCAGCUUCCACACGCCGGCAUGCACAGCCCUUUCCCCAUGAGCUAGUGUCCAGCCUGGGCUGGGACGUUCUCCUCUGGCUGAACACUGGCUCCAGGGUCUGCCUCUGCAGGCCCAGUUUCUCCUGGGCACUGGAAUACUUUCUGUUCUGAAGUCCAGGUUCUCCCCAGUCUUUAAUUUCUGUGAUAUGAUUUUGAGGUCUGGGUUGCACUGCUUAUGCUUCCAGCCCUGACCUGCUGAGGGGCCUCGGGCCUGUGCCCCUGACCCUCUGCCUUUCUCUAGGUCGUGUCAGCAAGUGAGAGCUGUGUCUGCUCCCUAGUGCUCUGGCUGUCAGUGCUGGAGGGCACGGCCUGGAUAGUCCCCCCGGACAGCCUGCCCAGCCCACAUGGCAGGGUCUGGUCUCCCUCCUGUGCCCCUGCUCUCGGCUCUCUGCCCCCAUCGGAAGAACACAGCCUCUCCACACCCUGCGCACGGCUCCUUAGAUUCUCUGCUGAGGGAGUCCAUGAAUGUAAUAAAAACUGAAAAAGCAGCAAGAAAUCUCCUUACAGUGCCCGUCCCGCUCAUCUGCUCCAAGUCAGCUCGUCCUCAAGACUGAUCACCCACUGCGGGUCAUGGUGGUGCCCUUCUAGUCUGGAGGCAAGGCCAGCAGUGCCAGCGAGGACCAGUCCGGUCCAGAUUCUGACUCCAAGGCUUCCCCCGCCUGUGCUGCUGGUUCUUCCCUUGGUCCCUGCAUCCUCCCUCUCACUCUUGGCAUCCUCUGUUCACCACGCACGGGCAAUCAGACCAUAGGCUGUGGCACUGAAGGCACUUUUUUUUUUUUUUGAGACCAAGUCUCCC